AGAGACCGCCAGCCCCAGACUCAAGAAGUAUUGGUAUGAGCUGCUGAAGCUAGCUCACAAUAUCCCCUUAUAGAAACUUAGAAUGUGACCGCAAAUAAGAACCAAUUGCACGUCCCUGUGAUGACGACUACGCAUUCGGAUGUCUGCCCUAUCAACUUUCGAUGGACUUUCUGCGCCUACCAUGGUGACCAACGGUAACUGAGAAUCAGGGUUAGAUUCCGGAGAGGGAGCCUGAGAAAUGGCUACCACAUCCAAGGAAGGCAGCAGGCGCGCAAAUUACCCACUCCAGACGCGGGGAGGAAGU